CUAAUGAAUUAUAUUGUCUCUGUAUCUACAGACUGAUUGGCUUUGAACUCUCUAUGGAGGACUACGAAUCACUGGCCUCCAUUCUCCAAUCAGCAGACUCACAUCUAAGAGAGCUGCACCUGGACGACAUCGGGGAGCGUGAUCCUGAUGGUGUUGAUGAUCCUGAUGGUGACGAUGAGGCCAGACUGACUGUUCUCUUUGCUGCGCUGACUGUUGUCCUCGCUGCACUGAAACAUCCACACUGUAAACUGGAGACACUGAGACUGGGUGGCUAUAAACUCUCUGAAGAGCACUGUGGGUUACUGCAUUCUGCUCUCCAAUCAGCAGACUCACAUCUGAGAGAACUGGACCUGAGAGACACUAAGCUGUCUGAUGGUGGUGGGAGGGAACUCUUUACUUCUCUGAAACAUCAGAACUGUAAACUGCACAAACUGCGACUGUCUAGCUUUAGACUCUCUGAAGAGGACUGGGGAUCACUGGCCUCCGUUCUCCAAUCAGCAGACUCACCUCUGAGAGAACUGGACCUGGACCUGAGGAACAGUGGACUGUCUGACGGUGGUGGGAGGGAACUCUUCACUGCUCUGAACCAUCCACACUGUAAACUACAGACACUGAGGUCAAUAUCUACACUAUAAACUACAGACACUGAGGUCAAUAUCUACACUAUAAACUACAGACACUGAGGUCAAUAUCUACACUAUAAACUACAGACACUGAGGUCAAUAUCUACACUAUAAACUACAGACACUGAGGUCAAUAUCUACACUAUAAACUACAGACACUGAGGUCAAUAUCUACACUGUAAACUACAGACACUGAGGUCAAUAUCUACACUAUAAACUACAGACACUGAGGUCAAUAUCUACACUAUAAACUACAGACACUGAGGUCAAUAUCUACACUAUAAACUACAGACACUGAGGUCAAUAUCUACACUGUAAACUACAGACACUGAGGUCAAUAUCUACACUAUAAACUACAGACACUGAGGUCAAUAUCUACACUGUAAACUACAGACACUGAGGUCAAUAUCUACACUGUAAACUACAGACACUGAGGUCAAUAUCUACACUGUAAACUACAGACACUGAGGUCAAUAUCUACACUAUAAACUACAGACACUGAGGUCAAUAUCUACACUGUAAACUACAGACACUGAGGUCAA